UACGUAGGGGGCAAGCGUUGUCCGGAUUUACUGGGCGUAAAGAGCGUGUAGGCGGCCAAGCAGGUCCGUUGUGAAAACUGGAGGCUUAACCUCCAGACGUCGACGGAAACCGCGCGGCUAGAGUCCGGAAGAGGAGAGUGGGAUUCCUGGUGUAGCGGUGAAAUGCGCAGAUAUCAGGAAGAACACCAAUGGCGAAGGCAGCUCUCUGGGACGGUACUGACGCUGAGACGCGAAAGCGUGGGGAGCGAACAGG
rnacentral:rRNA from 1 species